rnacentral:rRNA from 1 species
GACGAACGCUGGCGGCGUGCCUAAUACAUGCAAGUAGAACGCUGAAGGAGGAGCUUGCUUCUCUGGAUGAGUUGCGAACGGGUGAGUAACGCGUAGGUAACCUGCCUGGUAGCGGGGGAUAACUAUUGGAAACGAUAGCUAAUACCGCAUAACAGUAGAUAUCGCAUGAUAUCUACUUGAAAGGUGCAAUUGCAUCACUACCAGAUGGACCUGCGUUGUAUUAGCUAGUUGGUGAGGUAGCGGCUCACCAAGGCGACGAUACAUAGCCGACCUGAGAGGGUGAUCGGCCACACUGGGACUGAGACACGGCCCAGACUCCUACGGGAGGCAGCAGUAGGGAAUCUUCGGCAAUGGACGGAAGUCUGACCGAGCAACGCCGCGUGAGUGAAGAAGGUUUUCGGAUCGUAAAGCUCUGUUGUAAGAGAAGAACGAGUGUGAGAGUGGAAAGUUCACACUGUGACGGUAUCUUACCAGAAAGGGACGGCUAACUACGUG